UACAGAGGGUGCAAGCGUUGUUCGGAAUUAUUGGGCGUAAAGGGCGCGUAGGCGGUGCCACAAGUCACCUGUGAAAUCUCCGGGCUUAACUCGGAGCCUGCAGGCGAAACUGCCGGGCUUGAGUAUGGGAGAGGUGAGUGGAAUUCCUGGUGUAGCGGUGAAAUGCGUAGAUAUCAGGAGGAACACCUGUGGCGAAAGCGGCUCACUGGACCAUAACUGACGCUGGAUGACACGAAAAGCUAGGGGAGCAAACAGG
rnacentral:rRNA from 1 species